ensembl:snRNA U6 U6 spliceosomal RNA
GUGCUCACUUUGGCAGCACACAUGCCCGAACUGGAACAAUACAGAGAUGAUUAUCAUGGGAGCUGCCAAGGAUGACACACAUGUUCAUGAAGCGUUCCCUAUUUUU